UUUCAAAUUACGUCUUAUGCAUUUGGCAUGCUAAACAGUUGAAGUGUUACUGCCACCUAAUAAACAUUACGCAGCUACAAUCUGGUUUAUGUUAUAUGUACAUCUUGUAUGCAGUACAUGUCGAGUUAUCAGCAGAGCAUAUAACUUAUACUGGCUUCUGCAAAUAGUACAUCCUAUAUGGAUGAAUGUCAUGUAGAUAGUAUCAUGUUUGCAUCUCAGAUUUGGCGACAUUGCAAAGAACGUGGAUCAAUAAAAGUUCAAGUCCAGCUUUAAAUUCAAUUUUCUGAUAAGUUAGGAUCAACCAGCUGACAGAACUCGGGAAAUAUCCAUCCCGAAAAUGUUUAAUGAUGGAUCGAGCUCCUCUAUUUCAAUUUAUUCACCCUCGAAUAUCCACUCAGACUAGGCACCGAAAGACGUUCUUUGAAAGCUUUCAUCCUGCAAGCUGCCAUUCAACAGGUGAAUCAAUCUCCCUGAUAAUUUACAGUUUUCAUUCACAGACGAACAAUCACUCCUUAUCUGUGCAAUGUAAAGAUGGCUAAAUAAAACAUAUGUGAAGCUAAAAUUUCCAAAUUUGUUUUUAUAAUACUAUUAUUACAUUCAAGGUAAGCUCACUAACA